GAUGAACGCUAGCUACAGGCUUAACACAUGCAAGUCGAGGGGAAACGAUAUUGGAAGCUUGCUUCCGAUAGGCGUCGACCGGCGCACGGGUGAGUAACGCGUAUCCAACCUGCCCACCACUUGGGGAUAACCUUGCGAAAGUAAGACUAAUACCCAAUGACGUCCAUAGAAGACAUCUGAAAUGGAUUAAAGAUUUAUCGGUGAUGGAUGGGGAUGCGUCUGAUUAGCUUGUUGGCGGGGUAACGGCCCACCAAGGCGACGAUCAGUAGGGGUUCUGAGAGGAAGGUCCCCCACAUUGGAACUGAGACACGGUCCAAACUCCUACGGGAGGCAGCAGUGAGGAAUAUUGGUCAAUGGGCGAGAGCCUGAACCAGCCAAGUAGCGUGCAGGAUGACGGCCCUAUGGGUUGUAAACUGCUUUUAUAAGGGAAUAAAGUGAGCCUCGUGAGGCUUUUUGCAUGUACCUUAUGAAUAAGGACCGGCUAAUUCCGUGCCAGCCGCCGCCGUAA
rnacentral:rRNA from 1 species